CGAGCGCACCCUUAUCCUUGGUUGCCAGCCUUUAAUGGGGGGAACUCCGGGGACAGUGCGGGAGAUAACCCGGAAGAGGGGGGGGACCACCUCGAGUCCUCGGGGCUUUUACGAGUGGGUCCACACACGUGCUACUGUGGUUCAUACAGAGGGCGGCCACCUUGCUGAGGAGAGCGAAUCCCAAAAAAUGCGUCAUACCCCGGAUUGGACUCUGCAACUCCACUCCGUGAAGUCGGAAUCGCUAGUAAUCGUGGAUCAAAAUGCCACGGUGAAUACGUUCCCGGGCCUU
rnacentral:rRNA from 1 species